rnacentral:rRNA from 1 species
CCUACGGGGGGCUGCAGUGGGGAAUAUUGGACAAUGGGGGGAACCCUGAUUCAGCCAUGCCGCGUGUGUGAAGAAGGCCCUCGGGUUGUAAAGCACUUUCAGUGAGGAAGAACGCCUGGUGGUUAAUACCCAUCAGGAAAGACAUCACUCACAGAAGAAGCACCGGCUAACUCCGUGCCAGCAGCCGCGGUAAUACGGAGGGUGCGAGCGUUAAUCGGAAUUACUGGGCGUAAAGCGCGCGUAGGUGGCUUGAUAAGCCGGUUGUGAAAGCCCCGGGCUCAACCUGGGAACGGCAUCCGGAACUGUCAAGCUAGAGUGCAGGAGAGGAAGGUAGAAUUCCCGGUGUAGCGGUGAAAUGCGUAGAGAUCGGGAGGAAUACCAGUGGCGAAGGCGGCCUUCUGGACUGACACUGACACUGAGGUGCGAAAGCGUGGGUAGCAAACAGGAUUAGAUACCCUAGUAGUC